UAGGGAAUCUUCCACAAUGGGCGAAAGCCUGAUGGAGCAACGCCGCGUGUGUGAUGAAGGGUUUCGGCUCGUAAAACACUGUUGUAAGAGAAGAAUGACAUUGAGAGUAACUGUUCAAUGUGUGACGGUAAUCUUACCAGAAAGGAACGGCUAAAUACGUGCCAG
rnacentral:rRNA from 1 species